rnacentral:rRNA from 1 species
AAUUCGGCACAGAUUGUACAGGAUAUGUAUGAGCCUUUGCAACGUGAGCGAUAGCUUUCGAGGAGGCGCUGGUGGGAUACUACACUAGCUGUGUUGGCUUUCUAACCCGCACCACUUAUCGUGGUGGGAGACAGUGUCAGGCGGGCAGAUUGACUGGGGCGGUCGCCUCCUAAAAGGUAACGGAGGCGCUCAAAGGUUCCCUCAGAAUGGUUGGAAAUCAUUCAAAGAGUGUAAAGGCAUAAGGGAGCAUGACUGCGAGACCUACAAGUCGAGCAGGGUCGAAAGACG